GUGGAUUAGAUACCCUAGUAGUCCUGGCAGUAAACGGUGCGCGUUUGGUGUGGGAGGAUUCGACCCCUUCUGUGCCGGAGCUAACGCGUUAAACGCGCCGCCUGGGGAGUACGGUCGCAAGAUUAAAACUCAAAGAAAUUGACGGGGGCCCGCACAAGCGGUGGAGUAUGUGGCUUAAUUCGAUGCAACGCGAAGAACCUUACCUAGCCUUGACAUGCAUCUCUAAGUCGGUGAAAGCCGGCGACUGUAGCAAUACAGAAUUUGCACAGGUGCUGCAUGGCCGUCGACAACU
rnacentral:rRNA from 1 species